CUCCAUCCGUGCUCUGCUUUGAGAGACAAACUGUUUAAACCUCUGCUGAUCUGUAAAUUGAACCUCUUGCAACAAGCAGUUCAUCUGCAGGAAGACAAAAAGCAAUGAAGAUAAGAGCCAACCUAGAA
rnacentral:sRNA from 1 species